CUGAAGGCCUAAACAGCUACCAUACGCAUACGCCAAACUGAACGCCUUUUCCCAUAAUGAUUCGCUCGAUCGUUCGAACUUCGAAGCCAAGUUAAAGGAAGGGUACAUGAGUUGUAUAUGAUUCAGAACAGCAAACUGGUCAGAUGCAAAAACUCACAUCUUCUACGUAGCACCUGCAAUCAAAACUGACAACACCGAUUUGGAUAGCAAUGAAUGAGCACUACAACUUUUCUGUACACUAUACAUAAUGGUUAAACUUCACCCACAGCCGAGGGUAUUAUUUAUUUACAGGGGCAACUUUUUAAUUUACAAAAAGGGUAACGUAUAAAUUCAAAGGUGUGGAAGCAUAUACAUAUAUAAAUCCUUUAUCUUCUAUAUCAAUGUUAUAUCUACGCAAGGACAUGGCGGAUUUUUCACAAAAUAUUUUCCAGGGCUAGUCAGCGUCUAGUUUUAAUGUACAUUUAUUUUCCGGCCAUUAACAUAGUGUACUUCAACAAUAAAUUUAGCGUUGUUAUCUGCAGACAA
rnacentral:sRNA from 1 species